CCCCCCCCCCUCCCCCCCCCGGCAGAAACAUGUUUGCUUUUGCAGGUAUGAACACUUUGUACCGAGCGGCGGACCUGUUUAAUGUCCAGAUGAUGCUCGUGUGGUUGAAAACGUCUCCUGCUGUUUGCGUUCCUGUCUGAUUCCAUCGCCCGUAGCUGUGACAACCAAGUAAAAGUCAGAUUUGCCACCUCACGACCAAACCCAAGGACCUGUGAGACACGCUGACUUAUUCACACUCGCUGAAAAGAGAAGAAGAGCAUGCAACAAAUUGACCGUGACUAAUGCCGGUGUGAGUAAUCCAAUAUUCUGUCAAUCAUUAGUCGCACAGAGAACUCUGUGUUGGCUCUCUUCAGCCUACAUGCGGCUUCGCUUUGGCCCACUUCAAAGCUCCGUCCCGUGACUCCCAUCCUGAGGCUAAACAACUGGUCCGAGCCGUGUUGAUGUGGACAUGCUGCAGAGGGAGAAAGGCGGAGCGGCCAUAUGGUCGAGGCCUUCGUUCAGCUGGCGCAACCAUGAACGCUGUUGACCCGACUCGUUUUCCUCCAGGUUGAGCUGAACGAUGAAGCAACACCAAGUCAUCAUGUUCUAUACUGUUAAUAUAAGCCAUAUGUAAAGUGGCCACAGAUUUCCCUCUUUCCUAUUCAUUGUCUCUCUCUUUUUACUUACAUUUUUAAUCACUUUUUUUGUCGUUUUAAACAUAUUUUUUGAUAAUUUUUUAAAAUCUUUUUUCUGUUUUAAAUUUUUUGUUUUUUGUGAAGCGCCUCGUGAU